rnacentral:rRNA from 1 species
GCUGGCGGCAGGCUUAACACAUGCAAGUCGAGCGGUAGCAGAUCUAGCUUGCUAGAUGCUGACGAGCGGCGGACGGGUGAGUAACGCGUAGGAACCUGCCCAGUAGUGGGGGAUAGCCCGGGGAAACUCGGAUUAAUACCGCAUACGCUCUACGGAGGAAAGAGGGGCUUCGGCUCUCGCUAUUGGACGGGCCUGCGUGAGAUUAGCUAGUUGGUGAGGUAAUGGCUCACCAAGGCGACGAUCUCUAGCUGGUCUGAGAGGAUGAUCAGCCACACUGGGACUGAGACACGGCCCAGACUCCUACGGGAGGCAGCAGUGGGGAAUAUUGCACAAUGGGCGCAAGCCUGAUGCAGCCAUGCCGCGUGUGUGAAGAAGGCUUUCGGGUUGUAAAGCACUUUCAGUGGGGAGGAAGGCCUCGUAGUUAAUAGCUGCGAGGAUUGACGUUACCCACAGAAGAAGCACCGGCUAACUCCGUG